AGUGAACGCUGGCGGUAGGCCUAACACAUGCAAGUCGAACGGCAGCACAGUAAGAGCUUGCGCUUACGGGUGGCGAGUGGCGGACGGGUGAGGAAUACAUCGGAAUCUACUUUUUCGUGGGGGAUAACGUAGGGAAACUUACGCUAAUACCGCAUACGACCUACGGGGGAAAGCAGGGGAUCUUCGGACCUUGUGCGAUUGAAAGAGCCGAUGUCGGAUUAGCUAGUUGGCGGGGUCAAGGCGCAGCCCGGCGACGAUCCGUAGCUGGUCUGAGAGCGUGAUCACACACCCUGGAACUGAGACACGGUCCAGACUCCUACGGUAGGACGCAGUCGAGAAUAUUAGGCAAUGGACGCAAGCCUGAUCCAGCAAUACCGCGUGAGUGAAGAAGGCCUUCGGGUUGUAAAGCCCUUUUGUUGGGAAAGAAAAGCAGCAGGUUAAUACCCCGCUGUUCUGACGGUACCCAAAGAAUAAGCACCGGCUAACUUCGUG
rnacentral:rRNA from 1 species